UACGUAUGGGGCUAGCGUUGUUCGGAAUUAUUGGGCGUAAAGGGCGUCUAGGCGGGGGAUUAAGUUAGGUGUGAAAUCCCUGGGCUCAACCCAGGAACUGCAUCUAAAACUGGUUCUCUUGAGUUCGGGAGAGGAGAGCGGAAUUCCCGGUGUAGCGGUGAAAUGCGUAGAUAUCGGGAAGAACACCAGUGGCGAAGGCGGCUCUCUGGCCUAGAACUGACGCUGAAGCGCGAAAGCGUGGGGAGCGAACGGG
rnacentral:rRNA from 1 species